AGAGUCCCAGGAAAUAGGGACAGAGAGACUGGCCCAGCAGGGGCUCUCUGGGCCAACUGAGCAAGGUUACAGGGCCCAGGAAAGGAGCUGUUGGCUGCACAAGGGCAGAUGGAGUCAAGGAAUCAGUGUACGUGGGAUCCUGGCUGUCCCCACAGUGUCGUGGCUGAAACUUACAAGAACAGAAGCAAGUGAAGAACAGGUAGCCGGCCGCCUAACGAAGGGACUCAAAGCAGCAUAGACAUGGGAUGCUGAGAGGCCAAAUGAGGAGAGCAGACAGUGAGUGCUGCAAGUGCUCGGAGGGGUCAACGGGGACCCAAGUGUCCAGAAAAGGCAGGGACCACGCAAAGGGGUCCGAAAAAUGGGACCCUCAGUGGAAAGCACUGAGAAGACCAUUAUUCAGUCUCUGUGCCCGGAAUCACUGUCUGCCAGGCUCUGGCCAACCUGUAGCCUCUCCGUGCUGAAAACGACCCGCUAAAAAAGCCAAGUGGGAAGGACCCAGCACACAGCCGUGAACCACAUAUACACCAAGAGGGCCUAAAGUAAAAAAGAUAAACUUUAAAUCAAACAGAAACUUUUUCCAGCAACUUCCACUCUUGUGAUACUGAACUGAACUGAAGCAGAAGAUUUUGAGUUGCCUGAAUCCUUUGGAGUUAACCUGGUUAUUGACUUAAAAAGUCUAAUUGUGAAAUUGACUUAAAAAUCCCUAAUUGUGAAAGAAGGGGUCUCUUCUCUCUUUGGAAUGGCACUCUCACUAACAAUUUUCUUGAUAAGAGGACCCAACAAACAGCAAUAGAAAUAGAAAACUAUGGAUUGCUAGGUGAGAGUAUUUUUUAACCUGCUUCAACCUACAACUGCAAAAUGAACUGGUCCGAUUUAAUCAGAAAAAUUUCACAAUUUCUGACCACUGAUCUACAUUACUGAAAGGUUACAUGUGAAAUAAAUGUGGGGGGUGUGUG